AAGGUGCCCAGCAAGGUGCCCAGCAGCAAGGUGCCCAGCAAGGUGCCCAGCAGCAAGGUGCCCUGCAAGGUGCCCAGCAGCAAGGUGCCCAGCAGCAAGGUGCCCAGCAAGGUGCCCAGCAAGACACCAAACAUACACAGACGAUGGUACAAGGGCAAAGCACGGACAGUCUGAAAAAACAAGGCGGAAGUGUAAACGUGUCAGGCAAGUGCCUUACCAAAGAUGCAGACAGCUCGAUUGGUAAUACACCUGAAAGCGUAGGAAAUGUCGUGGUCGCCAAUGCUACCUAUGUUGUCAACUCGUCGGAUGAAAUGAAAUUAUCAUCCUUUCGAAAACAGAAAGUUUGAAGAGACUGCUGUUCUAUUCAAUUGUUUUGUUCAUACGAUAGAGGUGAAGGAAAACGCGGGAACGGAACGUUCUCUUUGACCGGAUAUCAUCUUAACAGUAUAUGUGAACUGUAAAAUUUAAAAAACCGGAUCAGUAAUCAUCAUACAUACGUAAUCGUAAUUAGUAAUCAUAAUUAGAAAUCAUUAUACAUUUAUUAAUCAUCAUAGAUCAGCAAUCAUCAUACAUUCAUAAUCAUCAUACAUUAGUUACCAUCAUACAAUUAACGUAAUUAUCAUCACACAUUAUUAAUAAUCAUACAUUGGUAAUCAUCAUACAAAAAAUAACAAGAACAAAUAGUAACAGGAACCUUGAUUAUAUCAUACAUGUAUUUGAAUUCAUUUUUCUCCUGUAAAUUUCUCUUUUUUUAAAUUUUUAAAAUCAACAGCUUUUAGUCAAAAAUGUACCGUAAACAUAGAUACGCAUGUGUCUAGCUAUAUACAUUGCUAGAUUUUAAAAUCGUACACAUUCAAUAUACGCAUUGGACACAUCUGUUAAUUGUAGUUUGUUUUCCGGAUUACUGUUUGAAAUAACUGAAAAAAGAAAAAGAAAAAAGAAAACAAAAAUCUGACUCGUUUAUGGACUUUCGGUUUGGUUUUUAAAGAUUCUAUAUCUGCUAAAAUUCGAUCAUUACUAGCCGGCAUCUAUUUUCCUAUCUAUAUCAAAUUUUGUAAAUUAUUUUUGUGUGUAUUUUAUCACUUUUUGUUAACUCAUAUGAAAAUAAAGA